rnacentral:rRNA from 1 species
GAUGAACGCUGGCGGCGUGCCUAAUACAUGCAAGUCGAGCGAACAGACGAGGAGCUUGCUCCUCUGACGUUAGCGGCGGACGGGUGAGUAACACGUGGAUAUCCUACCUAUAAGACUGGGAUAACUUCGGGAAACCGGAUCUAAUACCGGAUAAUAUAUUGAACCGCAUGGUUCAAUAGUGAAAGACGGUUUUGCUGUCACUUAUAGAUGGAUCCGCGCCGCAUUAGCUAGUUGGUAAGGUAACGGCUUACCAAGGCGACGAUGCGUAGCCGACCUGAGAGGGUGAUCGGCCACACUGGAACUGAGACACGGUCCAGACUCCUACGGGAGGCAGCAGUAGGGAAUCUUCCGCAAUGGGCGAAAGCCUGACGGAGCAACGCCGCGUGAGUGAUGAAGGUCUUCGGAUCGUAAAACUCUGUUAUUAGGGAAGAACAAAUGUGUAAGUAACUAUGCACGUCUUGACGGUACCUAAUCAGAAAGCCACGGCUAACUACGUG